GAGCGUUCUAAGGGCGUUGAAGCAUGAUCGUAAGGACAUGUGGAGCGCUUAGAAGUGAGAAUGCCGGUGUGAGUAGCGAAAGACGGGUGAGAAUCCCGUCCACCGAUUGACUAAGGUUUCCAGAGGAAGGCUCGUCCGCUCUGGGUUAGUCGGGUCCUAAGCUGAGGCCGACAGGCGUAGGCGAUGGAUAACAGGUUGAUAUUCCUGUACCACCUAUAAUCGUUUUAAUCGAUGGGGGGACGCAGUAGGAUAGGCGAAGCGUGCGAUUGGAUUGCACGUCUAAGCAGUAAGGCUGAGUAUUAGGCAAAUCCGGUACUCGUUAAGGCUGAGCUGUGAUGGGGAGAAGACAUUGUGUCUUCGAGUCGUUGAUUUCACACUGCCGAGAAAAGCCUCUAGAUAGAAAAUAGGUGCCCGUACCGCAAACCGACACAGGUAGUCAAGAUGAGAAUUCUAAGGUGAGCGAGCGAACUCUCGUUAAGGAACUCGGCAAAAUGACCCCGUAACUUCGGGAGAAGGGGUGCUCUUUAGGGUUAACGCCCAGAAGAGCCGCAGUGAAUAGGCCCAAGCGACUGUUUAUCAAAAACACAGGUCUCUGCUAAACCGUAAGGUGAUGUAUAGGGGCUGACGCCUGCCCGGUGCUGGAAGGUUAAGAGGAGUGGUUAGCUUCUGCGAAGCUACGAAUCGAAGCCCCAGUAAACGGCGGCCGUAACUAUAACGGUCCUAAGGUAGCGAAAUUCCUUGUCGGGUAAGUUCCGACCCGCACGAAAGGCGUAACGAUUUGGGCACUGUCUCAACGAGAGACUCGGUGAAAUCAUAGUACCUGUGAAGAUGCAGGUUACCCGCGACAGGACGGAAAGACCCCGUGGAGCUUUACUGUAGCCUGAUAUUGAAAUUCGGCACAGCUUGUACAGGAUAGGUAGGAGCCUUUGAAACGUGAGCGCUAGCUUACGUGGAGGCGCUGGUGGGAUACUACCCUAGCUGUGUUGGCUUUCUAACCCGCACCACUUAUCGUGGUGGGAGACAGUGUCAGGCGGGCAGUUUGACUGGGGCGGUCGCCUCCUAAAAGGUAACGGAGGCGCUCAAAGGUUCCCUCAGAAUGGUUGGAAAUCAUUCAUAGAGUGUAAAGGCAUAAGGGAGCUUGACUGCGAGACCUACAAGUCGAGCAGGGUCGAAAGACGGACUUAGUGAUCCGGUGGUUCCGCAUGGAAGGGCCAUCGCUCAACGGAUAAAAGCUACCCCGGGGAUAACAGGCUUAUCUCCCCCAAGAGUUCACAUCGACGGGGAGGUUUGGCACCUCGAUGUCGGCUCAUCGCAUCCUGGGGCUGUAGUCGGUCCCAAGGGUUGGGCUGUUCGCCCAUUAAAGCGGUACGCGAGCUGGGUUCAGAACGUCGUGAGACAGUUCGGUCCCUAUCCGUCGUGGGCGUAGGAAAUUUGAGAGGAGCUGUCCUUAGUACGAGAGGACCGGGAUGGACAUACCUCUGGUGUACCAGUUGUCGUGCCAACGGCAUAGCUGGGUAGCUAUGUGUGGACGGGAUAAGUGCUGAAAGCAUCUAAGCAUGAAGCCCCCCUCAAGAUGAGAUUUCCCAACUUCGGUUAUAAGAUCCCUCAAAGAUGAUGAGGUUAAUAGGUUCGAGGUGGAAGCAUGGUGACAUGUGGAGCUGACGAAUACUAAUCGAUCGAAGACUUAAUCAA
rnacentral:rRNA from 1 species